rnacentral:circRNA from 1 species
GACUUCCGCCUUAUCUAGUAGCCCUACGUAUCCGGACCUGCCCUUCAUUAGGAUCUCCCCACACCGGAACCCCACUGCUGCUUCCGAGUCUCCCUUCAGCCCUCCACAUCCCUACAUUAAUCCCUACAUGGACUAUAUCCGCUCCUUGCACAGCAGCCCAUCGCUCUCCAUGAUCUCAGCAACCCGUGGGCUGAGCCCUACAGAUGCGCCCCAUGCAGGAGUCAGCCCAGCAGAAUACUAUCAUCAGAUGGCCCUGCUAACUGGCCAGCGCAGCCCCUAUGCAGACAUUAUUCCCUCAGCUGCCACCGCCGGCACGGGGGCCAUCCACAUGGAAUAUCUUCAUGCUAUGGAUAGCACCAGAUUCUCCAGCCCCAGGCUGUCAGCCAGGCCGAGCCGAAAACGUACACUGUCCAUAUCACCACUCUCCGAUCAUAGCUUUGACCUUCAGACCAUGAUAAGGACGUCUCCCAACUCCUUGGUCACGAUUCUCAAUAAUUCCCGUAGCAGCUCUUCAGCAAGUGGCUCCUAUGGUCACUUAUCUGCAAGUGCAAUCAGCCCUGCCUUGAGCUUCACCUACUCUUCCGCGCCCGUCUCUCUCCACAUGCAUCAGCAGAUCCUAAGCCGACAACAGAGCUUAGGUUCAGCCUUUGGACACAGCCCUCCACUCAUCCACCCUGCCCCAACUUUUCCAACACAGAGGCCUAUUCCAGGGAUCCCUACGGUUCUGAACCCCGUCCAGGUCAGCUCCGGCCCUUCUGAGUCCUCACAGCAGAACAAGCCCACGAGUGAGUCUGCAGUGAGCAGCACUGGUGACCCGAUGCACAACAAGAGGUCCAAGAUCAAACCCGAUGAAGACCUCCCCAGCCCAGGGGCUCGGGGGCAGCAGGAACAGCCCGAAGGAACAACCCUUGUCAAGGAGGAAGGGGACAAAGAUGAAAGCAAACAGGAGCCUGAAGUCAUCUAUGAGACAAACUGCCACUGGGAAGGCUGCGCGAGGGAGUUCGACACCCAAGAGCAGCUUGUGCAC